CCCGCUCCUUCGUCCUCUCCUCCCCCACUCCUCUUCCGCCGCUCGUACCAGUCCGCCGACGCCCGGACCGUCCAAGGAAGGGCGCCACCACCACCUCCUCCUCCCACAGCUGUCGCGCCUCCUCCUCCUCCCUCCUCCCACCGCCGGAUCCGUGCCGACCCGAGCCGUCGCUGCCCCGAGCCGCCACCGCCGGACCGAGCCGCCCGUCGCCGCCGAGUCAUCGCAGCCGAAGACCGCCGCCAUCGACGAGUUCCCCGCCUCCUCUUGCACUGGCCAAUCUAGAUCUUCCCGUCGCCGCUCCAUUUUACCGGUCCCCGCCACGACGCCGCCGCUAACCCUAGCCGCCGCCACCGCCUCACCUACCGUUGGAUCCGCCGCUGCUUCACUGGCCUGUCGCCCCGCUCGUCGGCGUCUCCGGCCCCAUCGCCGGCCCCCACCACUGCCUCGGGUCUGCGCGCUGUUGCCUCCACUGCUAACACCACCGCUUCGAACCCCAAGACGAGAGGGCACAUUCGCUGCAACGGCGAGGUCAAGACCAUCUCACUCAGGUCGGUCGACGUUGUCUUCGCCGGCGAGGUCAGAGUGGUGAAGUGGACGCCGCGCGCUGAAGCAAAAACUGAAGUCUGAAUUCUCUGAGCUGUAGCUGUAGAUAAUCUUUCAGGGUCAAUCAGUCGCUGGCAAUUUUGCUUGUGAACCAGUGCGUCUGUAAGACAGAGCAAAUUGCUCCUCUGCUUGUAAAGGAUUGCCGAGCGGCAACAGAGAGAUGUUAAGAUUACAAUAUACUUUACUGCGGUACUGUAAAAUUAGUGACUUGCAACAUCAUCGCAUGGUUCUGUUGCCGCUCCUGAUUCUCACCCGCCGCCGUGUACUUCAGUGAGGAAUAACUCGCGUAGUCAGGUUGUAUGACCUCUGUAAAUGAUAUUGUUUGGUGAGGUUGCUAUGGUUCUGCGAUCUACAACACAUCAAUUUCCUGACCUUAAACAAGGCUAAGCAGAUUGGGUAUGAGUGAGAAUGCUGAAAUGAAGCUGCAAUGGACUGGUUGCUGUUUGAGAAUACUUAAUCAUAUUUAGACCGAUUGCUAUCUUUGCCAAUAGGUGCAAUCUUUGCAGCAUUUGACAUUAGCGAAGAGAUGCCAAUAGGACUCUUUCCCUUUCCAGUUGGAGACCUGUUGAAAGCUUGCAAUAAGGAAAAAGGAAUUCUGCCCAAAACUCAAUGGACAUUGCAUGCAUAAUUUUGAUGUUAUACACCAUUAAACUUAGAGGGGCUUAAUAGAUUAGGGCUGUUGGCAAUGUUUCAUAAUGGUAUACAGAUGAUGUUCUAUAAUAGAUUAGGGGUUGCAUGUGCAAAUUCAAUUCUGAUAAUAAUCUUAGAUAAAUGUUCCUAUGUGACUUCUCCUGUAGCCACAAGAGCUGGGCACUACAAUGUUCUGUUUUGUUGGGUUCUUCA